ACUUUAGCUUGCUAGAGUUGGAAGAGUUGCGAACGGGUGAGUAACGCGUAGGUAACCUGCCUAUUAGUGGGGGAUAACUAUUGGAAACGAUAGCUAAUACCGCAUAAUAGUGUUUAACACAUGUUAGAGACUUAAAAGAUGCAAUUGCAUCACUAGUAGAUGGACCUGCGUUGUAUUAGCUAGUUGGUGGGGUAACGGCCUACCAAGGCG
rnacentral:rRNA from 1 species